rnacentral:rRNA from 1 species
GAUGAACGCUAGCGGCAGGCUUAAUACAUGCAAGUCAAGGGGGUAGCAAUACAACCGGCGCACGGGUGAGUAACACGUACACAACAUACCAUAUACUGAGGUAUAGCUUCGGGAAACUGAAGGUAAUCCCUCAUAGUAUUGUGAAAGGGCAUCUUUUUACAAUUAAAGUUUCGACGGUAUAUGAUUGGUGUGCGUUUGAUUAGCUAGUUGGUAGGGUAACGGCCUACCAAGGCAACGAUCAAUAGCUGGCGUGAGAGCGCGACCAGCCACACUGGAACUGAGACACGGUCCAGACUCCUACGGGAGGCAGCAGUAGGGAAUAUUGGACAAUGGGCGAAAGCCUGAUCCAGCCAUGCCGCGUGAUAGAUGAAGGCCCUNUGGGUUGUAAAUAUCUUUUANCUGGGAAGAAACACUUCUAUUCUUAGAAGCUUGACGGUACCAGAGGAAUAAGNACCGGCUUAACUCCGUGCCAGCAGCCNCGGUUAAAGCAGUG